AAGUGCGAUAAGCAAUGCGAAUUGCAGAAUUCCGCGAGUCAUCAGAUCUUUGAACGCAAAUGGCGCCGGAGGGAUAUCCUUCUGGCAUGUCUGUUUCAGUGUCUGAGAGGUUUCACCAACAUCUUAAUGUGAUUGACAGCAGCAGCAGCAGCAAGCAAUUGUUGUGGUUGGUGUUGUCUCUCAUGAAAGAUGCGCGAGUGGAUCUUUCGGUCCAAUGAAGUGGUCACAUCACUCGUAUGUGAUUUCAUUGGGAGCACCGAAUUAUCCGCCAUGCUCGCGGUGUCAUCAUAUAAUAUAUGACGAAAGCAAGAAAGAAAGAAAGAGCUUCUUUCUUCUUCUUCUUUGGUUGUAUUUUUUUUCUCUCUCUACACCCUGCAUCUGAGAUAGGCAAGAUCACCCGCUGAACUUAAGC
rnacentral:misc_RNA from 1 species